AUUGAACGCUGGCGGCAUGCCUUACACAUGCAAGUCGAACGGUAACGCGGGGCAACCUGGCGACGAGUGGCGAACGGGUGAGUAAUGCAUCGGAACGUGCCCAGUAGUGGGGGAUAGCCCGGCGAAAGCCGGAUUAAUACCGCAUACGACCUGCGGGUGAAAGCGGGGGACCGUAAGGCCUCGCGCUAUUGGAGCGGCCGAUGUCAGAUUAGGUUGUUGGUGGGGUAAAAGCCUACCAAGCCGACGAUCUGUAGCUGGUCUGAGAGGACGACCAGCCCCACUGGGACUGGGACACGGCCCAGACUCCUACGGGAGGCAGCAGUGGGGAAUUUUGGACAAUGGGGGCAACCCUGAUCCAGCCAUGCCGCGUGCGGGAAGAAGGCCUUCGGGUUGUAAACCGCUUUUGUCAGGGAAGAAACGCUCUGGGCUAAUACCCCGGGGUAAUGACGGUACCAUUUAUAAGGUCCGGCUAACUACGUGCCAGCCGCCGCUGUAAAAC
rnacentral:rRNA from 1 species